rnacentral:rRNA from 1 species
GGGUGCGAUCAUAGCAGCUUUACUGCACCACAUCCCGUCAGAACUCCAUAGUUAAGCGGGCUUGGGCUAGAGUAGUACUGGGAUGGGUGACCUCCCGGGAAGUGGUAGUGUUGUACCCU